rnacentral:rRNA from 1 species
GACGAACGCUGGCGGCGUGCUUAACACAUGCAAGUCGAACGGAAAGGCCCUGCUUUUGUGGGGUGCUCGAGUGGCGAACGGGUGAGUAACACGUGAGUAACCUGCCCUUGACUUUGGGAUAACUUCAGGAAACUGGGGCUAAUACCGGAUAGGAGCUCCUGCUGCAUGGUGGGGGUUGGAAAGUUUCGGCGGUUGGGGAUGGACUCGCGGCUGAUCAGCUUGUUGGUGGGGUAGUGGCUUACCAAGGCUUUGACGGGUAGCCGGCCUGAGAGGGUGACCGGCCACCUUGGGACUGAGAUACGGCCCAGACUCCUACGGGGGGCAGCAGUGGGGAAUAUUGCACAGUGGGCGGAAGCCUGAUGCAGCAACGCCGCGUGCGGGAUGACGGCCUUCGGGUUGUAAACCGCUUUCGCCUGUGACGAAGCGUGAGUGACGGUAAUGGGUAAAGAAGCACCGGCUAACUACGUG